rnacentral:lncRNA from 1 species
UUUGUUUCAUUAUUCUGAUUAAUAAACUCUCUCUCUUCUAGAGAGUUCUCAAACGCUCCUCCUUCUCUCUAAAUUCUCUCACUAUAUUCUUCAUGAUUCUUCAGCUUAAUCUCAAGGUUUUCAUGGUAUCAGAGCAUAGACGACGAUCCGACUAUGUUUUUACAUUCUUUAUGAUUCUUCAGUUUAAUCUCAAGGUUUUCAUGGUAUCAUAGCCUAGACGACGAUCCGACUAUGUUUUUCUGCAUCUUGUUGUUCUGGUUGAAGUCUCUUUUGAGAUUUUUUGGGGGUGCUUCUGAGACCUUAUGGUCGAUGAAGAUUCCGAUCUAAAUCGGAUGCCUUUCUGAGAAUUUCCUCGUGAUAUCUGAGUAUAUCUUCUCCACUUGAACGUUCUGGGAGAUUUUCCGAUGAUUUUUGGGUGAUUUUUCGGUGACCUAUCGGCUUCUAGGGUUUCUGGUGGUUUAACCUAGCGUUUUACUGCUAUCCGGUGGCUCGAUCUUCACUCAGUGGAUGCUUAGG